rnacentral:rRNA from 1 species
CGUAGGGUGCAAGCAUUAUCCGGAGUGACUGGGCGUAAAGAGUUGCGUAGGCGGUUUAUAAAGUGAAUAGUGAAAUCUGGUGGCUCAACCAUACAGACUAUUAUUCAAACUCAUAAACUCGAGAAUGGUAGAGGUAACUGGAAUUUCUAGUGUAGGAGUGAAAUCCGUAGAUAUUAGAAGGAACACCAAUGGCGUAGGCAGGUUACUGGACCAUUUCUGACGCUAAGGCACGAAAGCGUGGGGAGCGAACCGGAUUAGAUACCCGGGUAGU